UACGGAGGGGCUAGCGUUGUUCGGAAUUACUGGGCGUAAAGCGCACGUAGGCGGCUUUGUAAGUUAGAGGUGAAAGCCCAGGGCUUAACCCUGGAAUUGCCUUUAAGACUGCAUCGCUAGAAUCGUGGAGAGGUGAGUGGAAUUCCGGAGUGUAGAGGUGAAAUUCGUAGAUAUUAGGAAGAACACCAGUGGCGAAGGCGACUCACUGGUCCGGUACUGUACGCUGAGGUGCGAAAGCGUGGGGAGCAAACAGG
rnacentral:rRNA from 1 species